AUUGAACGCUGGCGGCAGGCCUAACACAUGCAAGUCGAGCGGAUGAAGGGAGCUUGCUCCUGGAUUCAGCGGCGGACGGGUGAGUAAUUCCUAGGAAUAUGCCUGGUAGUGGGGGAUAACGUCCGGAAACGGGCGCUAAUACCGCAUCCGACCUGAUGGUGAAAGGGGGGGAUCUUCAGACCUCACCCUACCUGAUGAGCCUAGGUCGUAUUAGCUAGUUGGUUAGGUAAAGGCCUACCAAGGCGACGAUCCGUAACUGAUCUGAGAGGAUGAUCAGCCACACUGGAACUGAGACACGGUCCAGACUCCUACGGGAGGCAGCAGUGGGGAAUAUUGGGCAAAGGGCGAAAGCCUGAUCGAGCCAUGCCGCGUGUGUGAAGAAGGUCUUCGGAUUGUAAAGCACUUUAAGUUGGGAGGAAGGGAAGUAAGUUAAUCCCUUGCUGUUUUGACGUUACCAACACAAUAAGCCCCGGCUAACUUCGUG
rnacentral:rRNA from 1 species